rnacentral:rRNA from 1 species
GACGAACGCUGGCGGCGUGCUUAACACAUGCAAGUCGAACGAAGUGGCGAACGGGUGGGUAAUACGUGGGUAACCUGCCCUCCUUUUUGGGAUAAGCCUUGGCAACGGGGUCUAAUCCCGAAUAAAUGGGGAUGGGCUCGCGGCCUGUCGUCUUGUGGGUGGGGUGAUGGGCUACCAAGGCGGUGACGGGUAGCCGGCCUGAGAGGGUGACCGGCCACAGUGAGACGGCGAGACGGCCCAGACGAGUAAGGGGUGGAGCAGUGGGGGAUAUUGCACAAGGGGCGAAAGCGUGAUGCAGCGACGCCGCGUGGGGGAUGAAGGCCGUAGAGUUGUAAACCUAUAUCGCUAGAGAACGGGUAGGUGGAGAAGAAGCGCCGGCUAACUACGUGCCAGCAGCCGCGGUAAUAC